AGGGUUUGAGCAUGGCUCAGGAGGAACGCUGGCGGCGUGCUUAACACAUGCAAGUCGAACGAACCUUCGGGUUAGUGGCGGACGGGUGAGUAACGCGUGAGAAUCUGCCCUCAGGAGGGGGAUAACGGUUGGAAACGACCGCUAAUACCCCAUAUGCCUAUUGGUGAAACGAAUUUCGCCUGAGGAUGAGCUCGCGUCUGAUUAGCUAGUUGGUGAGGUAAUGGCUCACCAAGGCUUCGAUCAGUAGCUGGUCUGAGAGGAUGAUCAGCCACACUGGGACUGAGACACGGCCCAGACUCCUACGGGAGGCAGCAGUGGGGAAUUUUCCGCAAUGGGCGAAAGCCUGACGGAGCAACGCCGCGUGAGGGACGAAGGCCUCUGGGCUGUAAACCUCUUUUCUCAAGGAAGAAGAUAUGACGGUACUUGAGGAAUAAGCCACGGCUAAUUCCGUGCCAGCAGCCGCGGUAAUACGGGAGUGGCAAGCGUUAUCCGGAAUUAUUGGGCGUAAAGCGUCCGCAGGCGGCUUUUCAAGUCUGCUGUUAAAGCGUGGAGCUUAACUCCAUCAUGGCAGUGGAAACUGAAAGGCUUGAGUAUGGUAGGGGCAGAGGGAAUUCCCGGUGUAGCGGUGAAAUGCGUAGAUAUCGGGAAGAACACCAGUGGCGAAGGCGCUCUGCUGGGCCAUUACUGACGCUCAUGGACGAAAGCCAGGGGAGCGAAAGGGAUUAGAUACCCCUGUAGUCCUGGCCGUAAACGAUGAACACUAGGUGUCGGGGGAAUCGACCCCUUCGGUGUCGUAGCUAACGCGUUAAGUGUUCCGCCUGGGGAGUACGCACGCAAGUGUGAAACUCAAAGGAAUUGACGGGGGCCCGCACAAGCGGUGGAGUAUGUGGUUUAAUUCGAUGCAACGCGAAGAACCUUACCAGGGUUUGACAUCCUGCGAACCUCUUAGAAAUUUGAGGGUGCCUUCGGGAAUGCAGUGACAGGUGGUGCAUGGCUGUCGUCAGCUCGUGUCGUGAGAUGUUGGGUUAAGUCCCGCAACGAGCGCAACCCUCACUUUUAGUUGCCAUCAUUAAGUUGGGCACUCUGAAAGAACUGCCAGUGAUAAGCUGGAGGAAGGUGGGGAUGACGUCAAGUCCUCAUGGCCCUUACGUGUUGGGCUACACACGUGCUACAAUGGUAUUUACAACAGGAAGCAAGACGGCGACGUUAAGCAAAUCCUUAAAAAAUACCUCAGUUCGGAUUGCACUCUGCAACUCGAGUGCAUGAAGCUGGAAUUACUAGUAAUCGUGGAUCAGCGUGCCACGGUGAAUGCGUUCUCGGGUCUUGUACACACCGCCCGUCACAUCAUGGGAGUGGGUUGCACCAGAAGUGGCUAGUCUAACUUCGGAGGACGGUCACCACGGUGUGAUUCAUGACUGGGAUGAAGUCAUAACAAGGUAGCCGUA
rnacentral:rRNA from 1 species